rnacentral:rRNA from 1 species
GCGAGAAACCUUUGCAAUGUGCGCAAGCACGACAAGGUUAAUCCGAGUGUUUCCUGCUAAAGGAAUCUUUUGUUAGUUCUAAAACCACUGAUGAAUAAGAGGUGGGCAAGUUCUGGUGUCAGCCGCCGCGGUAAAACCAGCACCUCAAGUGGUCAGGAGGAUUAUUGGGCCUAAAGCAUCCGUAGCCGGUUCUGUAAGUUUUCGGUUAAAUCCACUAGCUUAACUAAUGGGCUGCCGAAAAUACUGCAGAACUAGGGAGUGGGAGAGGUAGACGGUACUCGGUAGGAAGGGGUAAAAUCCUUUGAUCUAUUGAUGACCACCUGUGGCGAAGGCGGUCUACCAGAACACGUUCGACGGUGAGGGAUGAAAGCUGGGGGAGCAAACCGGAUUAGAUACCCAUGUAGUCCCUGAGCGGGCUGGCAAGGCGCAU